GACGAACGCUGGCGGCGUGCCUAAUACAUGCAAGUAGAACGCAGUUGCGAACGGGGGAGUAACGCGUAGGUAACUGCCUCAUAGCGGGGGAUAACUUUUGGAAACGAUAGCUAAUACCGCAUACUGUGAGAUGGACCUGCGUUGUAUUAGCUAGUUGGGGAGGGAAAGGCUCACCAAGGCGACGAUACAGAGCCGGCCGGAGAGGGUGAUCGGGCCAACGGGGACUGAGACACGGCCCAGACUCCGAAGGGAGGCAGUCGUAGGGAAUUUUCGGCAAUGGACGGAAGUCUGACCGAGCAACGCCGCGUGAGUGAAGAAGGUUUUCGGAUCGUAAAGCUCUGUUGUUAGAGAAGCGGUACCUAACCAGAAAGGGCCGGCUAACUACGUGCCAGCAGCCGCGGUAAUAC
rnacentral:rRNA from 1 species